CUUUCUCUUUGCUAUAAUCUCCUUCCCCGUAUUCUCCUUCCACUUGACUUCUCCUUUCUCUACCUCCUCCCUUCCUCUUUUUCUGCUUCCCCUUUCCUUUCUCCCCUUCCUCUUCCCUCCUCUCCCUCCCUGCUUUCCCUUCCCCAGGGACAGAGCAGGCACGGUGAUUCAGCCUUGCCAAGCCGGCCCCGGUGCCAAUCUGGGAGCCGGCACGAGGGGAGCCAGCUGUGUUUAAGGAAAAAACUGCUUUGAGAAACAAAAAUAGUCCCGUGGGGGUGAUUCUUUUCCCCCCUCUCCUUUUUUUCCCUUUCAAGAGCUCGGCUCCCGGCCGGGGCCGGCAGCUGUGCCGUGCCAAGCCUUUCCCCGUGCCAACUGGCGGCUCCCGGUGCUGGGAACACACGGCGUGGCCUGGCCGCGGCAUUCGGCUUCCCAAAAACUGCUCCGCUGGGAGCAGCUGCUGGGGCAGUGCUGAGCGUGGCCGAGUGUCCCUGCUCGGUGUCCCUGCUCCUUGUCCCUGCUCUGGGUGUCCUACUCCAUGUUUCUGCUCCGGGUGUCCCUGCUCGGUGUCCCUGCUCUGGGUGUCCUACUCCAUGUUUCUGCUCCGAGUGUCCCUGCUCCUUGUCCCUGCUCCUUGUCCCUGCUCCGUGUCCCCGCUCCAUGUCCCUGCUCCAUGUCUAUUCUCCACAUGUCCCUGCUCCGAGUGUCCUGCCCCUUGUCCCUGCUCCUUGUCCCUGCUCUGAGUCCCUGCCCCGAGCUUCUCCACAUCUCCCUUUUUCGAAUGUCCCUGCCCCAAGUGUCCUAACCCCAAGCGCCUUCACUCCAAACAUUCCAUCCCCAAGCCUUCACCCAGCAUUCCUGCUCCGAACAUCCUCUUGCUGAGCAUUCCUGAUCCCGAAAAUCCUCACCCCCAGCAG
rnacentral:lncRNA from 1 species